AGCCUUUCAGGCAGAGCCAUACAAGGGACUGAAUCUGGGAACAAGAUGAAAAGUCAACAUUUGCAGAUGGAGACAGUCCAAAUACAAUAACACAUGGCCACGCCAAGCAGGGAAUUCACUGCCAGAGAAGAUAUUGCUAUUUGAACAGACUUUAUGGCUCACUAAGAAUGAAGAGCAUUUCCUUGUACAUCUUCAGCCUUCUUCUGCAGGGCAUGAAAAUAAGCUGCCUUUUUCUCAUCUGCUAAAGCUAAUUGCUGUAAAGAAAAGUUUCUCUGAUAAUUUUAUGUGCUCUCUAUUAGUAUUUUACAUUGCAAUCCAUUGAAUGACAAUAGUCCAAAGAGACAGACCUUCAUUAUUCAAACCAACUUUCAAUGUUUAAGCAAACUGCUUGAUGUGGAACAUUGUAUUUACCUUAUUGCAGAUCAUAUUUACUUUCUUCUAUAGUUCAUCAUUUCUUGUAUUAGUAUUUCACGUUUUUCCUUUCAAAAAUUCAUUCAUAUACUGCUAUCUCCUGAAUUACUCUCCAUUUCUUGCAAUUUGCAUUGUUUCUCAGACAAACUUGGUAAAUCUAAUUUGAUGUGAAGCACAUUUUAAAGUGCAGACUAAGGUGUUAAGCAGUGAAGUAAUAAUACUUUAGAGAUUAAUUUUCAGGCUGAAGUCCAAGUGAAAAAUAAGCCACUUACAUAAUAUUUUGUCCCCUUUAAAAAGUGUUGCAAAAGCGAGCCUGAAUACAGGUCAUACACAAUAGUAGUACACAAUGUUAUGAAGCAAUUUGCCUUUAUACAAUUCCACUGUUUCCUAUUCCAGGGAUAUUUAAUCAGAUGAGAGCAGGAAAAACUGAUGACGUUCAUUUUC
rnacentral:lncRNA from 10 species